rnacentral:rRNA from 1 species
CAUAUCAAUAAGCGGAGGAAAAGAAACCAACAGGGAUUGCUCUAGUAACGGCGAGUGAAGCAGCAAUAGCUCAAAUUUGAAAUCUGGCGUCUUCGACGUCCGAGUUGUAAUUUGUAGAGGAUGCUUCUGAGUAACCACCGACCUAAGUUCCUUGGAACAGGACGUCAUAGAGGGUGAGAAUCCCGUAUGCGGUCGGAAAGGUGCUCUACACGUAGCUCCUUCGACGAGUCGAGUUGUUUGGGAAUGCAGCUCUAAAUGGGAGGUAAAUUUCUUCUAAAGCUAAAUAUUGGCCAGAGACCGAUAGCGCACAAGUAGAGUGAUCGAAAGAUGAAAAGCACUUUGGAAAGAGAGUUAAAAAGCACGUGAAAUUGUUAAAAGGGAAGGGAUUGCAACCAGACUUGCUCGCGGUGUUCCGCCGGUCUUCUGACCGGUCUACUCGCCGCGUUGCAGGCCAGCAUCGUCUGGUGCCGCUGGAUAAGACUUGAGGAAUGUAGCUCCCUCGGGAGUGUUAUAGCCUCUUGUGAUGCAGCGAGCGCCGGGCGAGGUCCGCGCUUCGGCUAGGAUGCUGGCGUAAUGGUCGUAAUCCGCCCGUCUUGAAACACGGACCAAGGAGUCUAACAUCUAUGCGAGUGUUCGGGUGUCAAACCCCUACGCGUAAUGAAAGUGAACGGAGGUGAGAACCGCAAGGUGCAUCAUCGACCGAUCCUGAUGUCUUCGGAUGGAUUUGAGUAUGAGCAUAGCUGUUGGGACCCGAAAGAUGGUGAACUAUGCCUGAAUAGGGUGAAGCCAGAGGAAACUCUGGUGGAGGCUCGCAGCGGUUCUGACGUGCAAAUCGAUCGUCAAAUUUGGGUAUAGGGGCGAAAGACUAAUCGAACCAUCUAGUAGCUGGUUCCUGCCGA